AAAUCUAAACAAAUUUGAGUAUCUAACGAGUUUAAUCUUCCUCUUAACUAAACUGAAUUUCUACAUAUAGUGCAUCAACAAUGUUUCUGUACUCUCUGAAUUGAGUAUAAGAAAAAAGAAAAGAAAGAAGAGAAAAGGGCAUUCUAAUAGCAUAAAUUUAUAUUGAGCACGCAUAUAUUUCAACAAAUAGUAAUACAGCCACGUCAAGCCGGGAAAAGGGAGAAAUUAAAGAAUGAAGAGUAGAACUAGC
rnacentral:lncRNA from 1 species